UACGUAGGGUGCAAGCGUUAAUCGGAAUUACUGGGCGUAAAGCGUGCGCAGGCGGUUAUGUAAGACAGAUGUGAAAUCCCCGGGCUCAACCUGGGAACUGCAUUUGUGACUGCAUAGCUAGAGUACGGGUAGAGGGGGAUGGAAUUCCGCGUGUAGCAGUGAAAUGCGUAGAUAUGCGGAGGAACACCGAUGGCGAAGGCAAUCCCCUGGACCUGUACUGACGCUCAUGCACGAAAGCGUGGGGAGCAAACGAGG
rnacentral:rRNA from 1 species